AGGUCAAGAUAUAAAGGGCAUACGGUGGAUGCCUUGGCGCCAAGAGCCGAAGAAGGACGCGGUUAACAGCGAAAUGCCACGGGGAGUCGUAAGCAGGCAUAGAUCCGUGGAUGUCCGAAUGGGGCAACCCAUCCAGAGUCAUAUUUGGAUAUCCUGUACUGAAUAAAUAGGUACAGCGAAGGCAAGUCGGGGAACUGAAACAUCUAAGUACCCGGAGGAAAAGAAAGAAUAAUCGAUUCCCAGAGUAGCGGCGAGCGAAACGGGACUAGCCCAAACCAAUCCAGAAGACAGAGGCCAGAAGCCAGAGGUCAGAAUGCAAGCAAGCAUCUGGCGUCCGGAAUCUGAUUUCUGACUUCUGGGUUGGGGUUGUAGGACUCUCAAAACGGGACAGUGUUUUUAGCUGAAGCGAACUGGAAAGUUCCGGCAUAGGAGGUAAAACCCCUGUAAGCGAAAAGAAGACUGGCUUAGAGAGUAUCCUGAGUACCGCGGGACACGAGAAACCCCGUGGGAAGCAGGGGAGACCACUCCCCAAGGCUAAAUACUACUUGGCGACCGAUAGUGAACAAGUACCGUGAGGGAAAGGUGAAAAGCACCCCGGGAGGGGAGUGAAAUAGAACCUGAAACCGUAUGCUUACAAGCAGUCAAAGCGUUUAGGCGUGAUGGCGUGCCUUUUGUAGAAUGAACCGGCGAGUUGUGAUAUGCAGCGAGGUUAAGUAUUUAAGAUACGGAGCCGAAGCGAAAGCGAGUCUAAAUAGGGCGACUAGUUGCAUGUUGCAGACCCGAAACCGUGUGAUCUACCCAUGGUCAGAGUGAAGGUGAGGUAAAACUCAUUGGAGGCUCGAACUCACUGUCGUUGAAAAGGCAGGGGAUGAACUGUGGGUAGGGGUGAAAUGCCAAUCGAACACGGAGAUAGCUGGUACUCCCCGAAAUAGCUUUAGGGCUAGCCUCAAUGGAUGAAAUACGGGGGUAGAGCACUGAAUGGGCUAGGGGCUUAAAAGUUACUGAACCCUAUCAAACUACGAAUACCGUAUUUUUAGAAGUUGGGAGUCAGACUGUGGGGGAUAAGCUUCAUAGUCGAGAGGGAAACAGCCCAGACCGACGGCUAAGGUCCCAGAGACUACGCUAAGUGGAAAAGGAUGUGGAACCGCAGGGACAACCAGGAUGUUGGCUUAGAAGCAGCCACCAUUUAAAGAGUGCGUAAUAGCUCACUGGUCGAGUGGUUCUGCGCCGAAAAUGUAACGGGGCUCAAGCGUAGCACCGAAGCCGCGGCAUCGAUCUGAUUCAUUAAAUUUUCAAACGAGAGACAUUUUAGAAAUUUUGUUUACAAUCAGGAUGACUGCAUAUAAACAAAAUUUCCAAAUUACUUCAGCUAAAACGUAGCACAAAAGCUUACAAUAAGGAAUCUUAGAGUAAGACAAACGUAUCAAAGGGCUGAGAGCUAAGCGAAGCUUAGCCAAGACUAUCGCAAAGCGAUAGGGUUGAAGGUUUAAUGAAUCAGAUCGUUGGGUAGGGGAGCAUUGUCACAGCGUAGAAGGAUAACUGUAAGGUUUACUGGAGUGGUGACAAGAGAGAAUGCCGGUAUGAGUAUGCGAAAAGGAAGGUGAGAAUCCUUCCCGCCGAAAAUCUAAGGUUUCCUGGGGAAGGCUCGUCCGCCCAGGGUAAGUCGGGACCUAAGCUGAGGCCGAAAGGCGUAGGCGAUGGACAAUUGGUUGAAAUUCCAAUACCACCAUAAAUCGUUUGAGCGAUGGGGUGACACAGGAGGAUGACCUGAGCGUGCUGUUGGUUAUGCACGUCCAAACAUCAAGUGGGUGCUGUAGGCAAAUCCGCAGCGCUAAACCGUGAGAUGUGAUGGGGAGCGAAAAUAAGUAGCGAAGCGGGAUAGUUCAUACUGUCAAGAAAAGCCUCUAGUGAGAAAUGUGGUGCCCGUACCGCAAACCGACACAGGUAGAUGAGGAGAGAAUCCUAAGGCGCGCGAGAAAACCCUCGUUAAGGAACUCGGCAAAAUGACCCCGUAACUUCGGGAGAAGGGGUGCUCUGGCAACAGAGCCGCAGAGAAAUAGUCCAGGCGACUGUUUAACAAAAACACAGGUCCCUGCAAAUCCGUAAGGAGAAGUAUAGGGGCUGACGCCUGCCCGGUGCUGGAAGGUUAAGAGGAGAAGUUAGCGCAAGCGAAGCCUUGAAUUGAAGCCCCAGUAAACGGCGGCCGUAACUAUAACGGUCCUAAGGUAGCGAAAUUCCUUGUCGGGUAAGUUCCGACCCGCACGAAAGGCGUAACGAUCUGGACACUGUCUCAACGAGGGACUCGGCGAAAUUGUAAUACCCGUGAAGAUGCGGGUUACCUGCGACAGGACAGAAAGACCCCAUGGAGCUUUACUGCAGCUUGACAUUGGAUUUUGGUAUAAAAUGUACAGGAUAGGUGGGAGGCUUGGAAGCCAGUACGCCAGUAUUGGUGGAGCCGCCGGUGGGAUACCACUCUUUUUGUACUGAAGUUCUAACCUAGGCCCCUGAAUCGGGGUUGGGGACAGUGUCAGGCGGGCGGUUUGACUGGGGCGGUCGCCUCCUAAAGAGUAACGGAGGCGCCCAAAGGUUCCCUCAGCGCGGAUGGAAAUCGCGCGAAGAGUGUAAAGGCAAAAGGGAGCUUAACAGAGAGACAAACAAGUCGACCUGGUACGAAAGUAGGGCUUAGUGAUCCGGUGGUUCCGAGUGGAAGGGCCAUCGCUCAACGGAUAAAAGCUACCCUGGGGAUAACAGGCUUAUCUCCCCCAAGAGUUCACAUCGACGGGGAGGUUUGGCACCUCGAUGUCGGCUCAUCGCAUCCUGGGGCUGUAGUAGGUCCCAAGGGUUGGGCUGUUCGCCCAUUAAAGCGGUACGUGAGCUGGGUUCAGAACGUCGUGAGACAGUUCGGUCCCUAUCCGUCGCAGGCGCAGGAAAUUUGAGGAGAUCUGACCCUAGUACGAGAGGACCGGGUUGGACGGAUCACUGGUGUACCAGUUGUCUCGCCAGAGGCAUAGCUGGGUAGCUAUAUCCGGAAUGGAUAAGCGCUGAAAGCAUCUAAGUGCGAAACCAGCUUCAAGAUGAGAUUUCCCACAGAGUUAAUCUGGUAAGACCCCUGAAAGAUGAUCAGGUUGAUAGGCCGGGAGUGGAAGCAUGGUGACAUGUGGAGCGGACCGGUACUAAUAGGUCGAGGUCUUGACCUU
rnacentral:rRNA from 1 species